rfam:Synechococcus sp. WH 8102 complete genome.
GCGGAUGUAGCUCAGUGGUAGAGCAUCUCCUUGCCAAGGAGAGGGUCGAGAGUUCGAAUCUCUUCAUCCGCU